rnacentral:rRNA from 1 species
AUACGGAGGAUCCGAGCGUUAUCCGGAUUUAUUGGGUUUAAAGGGUGCGCAGGCGGCCAUUUAAGUCAGCGGUUAAAUCGUGGGGCUCAACCCCAUUCUGCCGUUGAUACUGGGUGGCUUGAUUGCGGUCGAGGUUGGCGGAAUUCGUUGUGUAGCGGUGAAAUGCAUAGAUAUGACGAAGAACACCGAUUGCGUAGGCAGCUGGCCAGGCCGCAAAUGACGCUCAUGCACGAAAGUGCGGGGAUCGAACAGGAUUAGAUACCCUGGUAGUCCACGCAGUAAACGAUGAUGACUAACCGUCGGCGAUAGACCGCCGGUGGCCAAGCGAAAGCGAUAAGUCAUCCACCUGGGGAGUACGACCGCAAGGUUGAAACUCAAAUGAAUUGGCGGGG